UGAGAGUGUAAACGUCGAAAUAAUACUAACAAUAAAUUGGACAAGUUCGAGUUAAAAUGGCUCUCUUGGGUAAAGAAGUAAAAAGACUGAACGCAAUCAUGAUCGUCAAUAAUAUUACUACGUUAAUAUCAAAAGGACCCGAAGAAGCCUUACACACUGAACAAGAUUGCAUCUCCAAGUACGCAAAUUACUCUUUUGAUGAAGGUGCUGUAUUCUGCAACACAACCUUUGACACGUAUCUGUGCUGGCCUCCAACUAAAGCC